rnacentral:misc_RNA from 1 species
UCUUACGCAGUGGUGGCAGU